rnacentral:lncRNA from 1 species
GGAUAUUUCAAAUUACGUUAAAUAUCUGUCUUUGGUUAUAUAUAUUCUUUAAUUGAAACAGGGUUGGUUAUAUUAAUCAUCAUGCAAUAUGUCUAUAUCCUGUAUCAAUCUAACCUGUAUGAUUAACUGAUUGAUACAUUCAUCAUUACAAAGAAAAAUAGAAUCUAAUUAUAUUAGUAUAUCUAUAUUACCUUUUACCCUAAAUCAAUCAAGGAUGCAGUUAUAGACAUUACCGUAGCAAUCACACAUUUAGUUUACAUUUAUAUAUCAUGCAUGAUUCCGAUAGAUUCAUUUAAGUUCUAAUAUCCUGAAAACAUGGAAGCGACCUCAGACUUUGGGUUCGUAUGGCUGACAAACACUCUGGAUUGCCUGUGAUGUUUAUACACAAACAAUUGCAUAGUUUGUAUACCCCUUUGAAGCUCUGUGAGUUUAAGUAUCUCAGGAUUGUAAAGUCCCAUUGAGGAAUAAACCAUUGUUCUUGUUACCCUUGUACACAGAUAGCUCACAAAUUAAACUGUAGAUAAGUAUUCCUCCUGUUUACUUCUUAAGGUUACAAAAUACAAAGUUCCUUUGACCUGUGUUGAAACAGCAUUACGAAAUGUCCAGGCCAGUCUACCAGCAUCCAUAUUGUUUUCUUUUAAUAUUAAAAAUUAUGGGGCACCAAAUAGCACAACACUGCUAUACUUCUGCACCCCAGCGCUCAGUCACCUUGACUGCUAUCCUUCUGCACCCCAGCGCUCAGUCACCUUGACUACAAUCCUUCUGCACCCCAGUGCUUCGUCACCUUGACCCAGAGUAGUGGGAAAGUAGAAAGGGCAAAUGGCACCUUAAAGAACAAGAUUGCAAAAGCCAUGCAAGACACAGUGAAGCCCUGGACUGAAUGCCUUCCCCUAGCACUCUUGUACAUGAGAUUCAGACCCAAUUCUAGACAUGGCCUAUCCCCUUUUGAGAUACUGUUAGGAAGAGAGGCCUCUAUUUUCCCCAGACCCUCCAGAUGCAGCAUGGUAGUAUGACUGCCAUGUACAGGCCCUACACCAAAGAUUAGGCAGGGUGCAUAAACAAGUCUUUGAUUCUAUUCCAGAUCCAGACUCUGAUUCUGCAACUCGCAAACUGCAACCUGGUGAUUGGGUGGUGAUAAAGAGGCAUGUGAGGAAAGGACUUGAACCACGCUUUGACGGUCCAUUCCAAGUGCUCUUGACUACGGCUACCUCAGUGAAACUAGAAGGAAAAGCAACGUGGAUACACGCCAGUCACUGUAAACAAGUCACUCCGACUGAUCCACUGACAUGAAGCUGUUCUUAUCCUUUACCAUUGUAUGCUCUGUUCAAAUAUGCUACUCUGACUUGAGACCAGAAGAUAAUAAUGCAUAACAGGGAAAUAUAUAAUUACAGAUAGCAAAGGCUUUUAAUUGAACCUCCUUUUGCCUCAACCCUCUCCUCAGUACUGAAAAUGCCAUGGAAUCUUGUCUUAUAGCUGUCCCUACCCCAUCUCACUUUUGAGGAAGUACCUACAUACCCAUAGACCCCAUAAAUAUCUGCCCGAGUAAUUAAUGCUGUAGCCUGUUCCUUUGCAAAGGGUUUAAAUGCCACUUCACAGGCCCUAGAAGAGCUACUUAUGGACAACCAGGCAAAUAAGAAGGCAAUCCUUGAGAAUAGAGCAGCCAAUUACUUUACUAAAUGAGAAAAUGUAGUACUUUUUGCUAUUAGCUAUAUUUGUUAUUAUGUACAUUUUUCUAACCUUUAGAUUUUUCUCAUGUCUACUAACCUCUCUAUGUAAAAACAAACAUACUGUUGGUCGUACCUUAACUUACAUUCCAGCUCUGACUUUGGAAGGGUUUUAUGAUGUUACCUCGCCUAACAAAUGAAGGAACUCUCCUCCGCUGAUUCUGGUGGUUUCUCAGUCCAAGGGAACUGUGGUGAAGCAAUAAAUGCUUUGGCUAGCAGGCCUGGAUAUACCUUGGACAUUUGGGUGACCCUUGGAUCAAAAGAGGGGAUUGUGAUAGAAUUUAUCUUGAUUCCAAGGCUCAAGCUUAUAGGUGUCAUAUAAUGAUAUCCUUUAUUAAAAUUGGCUAACUUGGACUCAGGAAAUGCUUGAUGCUUAAACAACACUUAAGACCAUAUAUGUCUAGUUCCGGGAGCAGAGAGCCCCCACCUAAGAUGUCUCUUCUCUAAUCUUUUUGUUCUUUCUUACCUUGGAACUUAUUUGUUAUGUGUACAUGACGUUCAUCCCUUCCUAUUACUGUUCUAAGAGUAUUUGCACGUAAGCACUUACUUUUUAAUGUAUAAAACCCAGCUGAUGAAUAAAACGUCAGAGGCUUAUUUUGAAUACCAA